rnacentral:rRNA from 1 species
AUGUUGAUGCACGAUUAUUUUUCGGAGAAUCCUACAUAUCCUGCACACCUCUUCCGCAGAAGGUACCGAAUGCGCCGAUCCCUUUUUGUGAAAAUUGUUGAAGCUUGCGAGGCAAAUUGCCGGUAUUUCACUCAAAGAAGGAAUGCCGCGGGCUUAAAGGGAUUUAGUGCAUAUCAAAAAAUCUCCGCAGCUAUGCGGGUGAUUGCAUAUGGCGUUCCGACUGACUAUGCCGAUGAGUAUCUUUGCAUUGGUGAAGAUAGCACAAUUGAGUCUGUGCGUAGAUUUGCGUAA